rnacentral:rRNA from 1 species
GAGGGAAAGGUGAAAAGUACCCCGGAAGGGGAGUGAAAGAGAACUUGAAACCGUGUGCUUACAAGUAGUCAGAGCCCGUUAAUGGGUGAUGGCGUGCCUUUUGUAGAAUGAACCGGCGAGUUACGAUCUGAUGCAAGGUUAAGCAGAAAAUGUGGAGCCGUAGCGAAAGCGAGUCUGAAUAGGGCGAAUGAGUAUUUGGUCGUAGACCCGAAACCAGGUGAUCUACCCUUGGUCAGGUUGAAGUUCAGGUAACACUGAAUGGAGGACCGAACCGACUUACGUUGAAAAGUGAGCGGAUGAACUGAGGGUAGCGGAGAAAUUCCAAUCGAACUUGGAGAUAGCUGGUUCUCUCCGAAAUAGCUUUAGGGCUAGCCUCAAGUGAUGAUUAUUGGAGGUAGAGCACUGUUUGGACGAGGGGCCCCUCUCGGGUUACCGAAUUCAGACAAACUCCGAAUGCCAAAUAAUUUAACUUGGGAGUCAGAAUGUGGGUGAUAAGGUCCAUAUUCGAAAGGGAAACAGCCCAGACCACCAGCUAAGGUCCCAAAAUAUAUGUUAAGUGGAAAAGGAUGUGGCGUUGCCCAGACAACUAGGAUGUUGGCUUAGAAGCAGCCAUCAUUUAAAGAGUGCGUAAUAGCUCACUAGUCGAGUGACACUGCGCCGAAAAUGUACCGGGGCUAAACAUAU